UACAGAGGGUGCGAGCGUUACUCGGAAUUACUGGGCGUAAAGCGUGCGUAGACGGUUAUUUAAGUCGGAUGUGAAAGCCCCGGGCUCAACCUGGGAAUUGCAUUCGAGACUGAAUAGCUAGGGUACGGUAGAGGGAAGUGGAAUUUCCGGUGUAGCGGUGAAAUGCGUAGAUAUCGGAAGGAACAUCAGUGGCGAAAGCGACUUCCUGGACCAGUACCGACGUUCAGGCACGAAAGCGUGGGGAGCAAACAGG
rnacentral:rRNA from 1 species